UUUUUUUUUUUUUUUUGGUCUGGGUAAUUUACUUGUUGUUGAAAGUGGAGUAUUCAUUGACUGUUUUUCCCUUCAGGCCUGUUAAGAUUUACGUAAUAUAUUUAGGUGCUUCUAGGUUAGGUGCACACAUAUUUUUAAACACCGUAUCCUUGUGUUGGGUUGACCCCUUAUCAUCAUAGAACAGCCUUCUUUGCCUCCUGUUACAAUCUUUGGCCUAAAGUCUAUUUAGUCUGAAAUAAGUAAAGCUACUGCUUUCUUUUGGUUUUUGCAUGGAAUGACAUGGAAUAACGUCCAUCUAUGGGAAAACUGUGUAUCCAUGUGCAAAAGAAUGAAAUUGGACCCUUACAUUACACCACACACAAAAAUCAACUCAAAAUGGAUUAAAGACUUAAACAUAAAACCCCAAAUGGUAAAAAUCCUAGGAAAAAUAUAAGAGAAAAGCUUCAAGGCAUUGGUCUUGGCAUAGACAGCAACAACAAAAGGUAAAGAAGCAGGACUCUGUCGAACUAAAAAGCUUCUGCACAGCCGAGGAAACUCUCAACAGAGUGAAAAAGCGGUAAGAGAAAAUAUUUCAGACCGUAUAUCUGAUCAUCAAUCUCCAAAUAUGUAAGGAAUUCCUACAACUCAAAAAUUUAAAAGAACAAUUUACAAGUGAGCUAAGGACUUGAAGAGACAAUUCUCCAAAGAAGACAUACAAACAGUCAACAAGUAUAUUAAAAAAUCUUCAGUAUCACUAAUCUUUGCCAUGAGCUGUGGUGUAGGUUGCAGAUGUGGCUCGGAUCCAGCAUUGCCGUGGCUGUGGUGUAGGCAGGCAGCUGUAGCUCUGAUUCAACCCCUGGCCUGGGAACCUCUGACAACCUCCGUACGCCAUAGGCGAGGCCCUGAAAAAAACCAAAAAAAGAAAAAGAAAAGACAGCAAAUGUUGGUGAGUGUGUGGAGGGAUUGGAGCGAUUGUACACCCUGGUGGGAAUGCAAAGCGCUGCAGCUCUUUGGGGGAAAAUACAGAAAUUUCUCAAAAAAAAAUUAAAAAUAGAACUACUGUGAGAUGCAGCAAUCACAUUUCUGGGUAUUUCUCAAAAAGAAUCAAAGUCAGGAUUUGGAAGAGAUUUUAGCCUCCUGUGUGCUCUGCAGCAUCCUUCGCAAAGUCCAGAUGUGGAAACAGCUGAAAUGUCCAUGGAUGGAUUAGCAGAGAAGCUGUGGUCUGUGCCUACGGUGGAGUGACACCCAGUCUGCAAAAAGAAGGAAAUUCUGCAAUAUGCAAAAACGUGAGUGACCCUGGAGUCCAAAUGCUCAGGGAAACCAGCCAAUCACAGGAAGACAAAAUUACAUGAUUCCACGCAUUUGAGGUCUCUAAAAUACUCAAGUUCUUAGACUCACACAGUGGAACGGUGGUGGCCAGGGCUGGGCAGGGUUACCUAUUAACAGGCAUAAAGUUUCAAACAAAACAAGUAAGCUCUAGAGACUUGCUGUACACUGUUGUACCUACAGUUAACACUUUAAAAUUUGUGCACUCCACCUCAUGUGAAGUGGUCUUUUCAUAGUGAAACAUUUUGGUGCGAUAUCCUGAAUAUCCAUUUCCAUAGAGUUCAACGAAUGAAUUGUGGUCUCCCCAUACACUGGAGUCAUUGAAAGGCUGGUCCAGAAAGACAAUGAUCACACAGAUUUGUUUAAAAAAAAUUGCAGACCUGGUGUAGCGCGUCAUCAUAUGUUUGCAAGGAAAAAUCAAAUUAAACAGAAUGCACCCGCAAACCCACACCACCUCCCCCACCCCAACGGGGUUGGACGUGAAGACACCAAACCGCCAGCAGAGGUUGGGUCAGCGAUGGGUAGAGGGGGCAUGCUCGCGGUUGACCCCAAACCCCUUCUGUUUGCUUGCCUGGUCAAACAUGAUUGGGGUUUAGGAUUUUUAAAAUCAGGAAGUUUCAAAUGUCAUGCCUGUCCCCUCUCCUCCAGGAACAGAUAUACAUUUAGGGUGCCCUUCUCAAACUCAUGGGGAGUGACCUGAGCCAGGUCAGGACCCACAGGAGGGAGGGGCCAGAGGAGGCUUUUAGUUCCUAGUCAAUCACUCCAGCUCAGGAGAAUGAUAGGCUCUAGGUGGGGGUGGGCAGGGGCUGAGGGAAGGGCUUUGGACCCAGGAGUCCCCCCCCCCCGCCACCCCGGGGGACAUGUCCACUGAGGGCCACAUGGUCUGUUCUUAGAUGCUGUGCUUGUCACUGGGAAGCUGAGGGACUUCUGGGCUUGGCUCCUUGGACCUGAGAGUGAGGUACGAUGGGCAAAGGGUGGCAACUGGCGACUCGGGAGAAGAGGGAGUCCCAGUGCACUGCGGAGCCUGGAAAACAAACGACCUCGCCUCACUGCCCACUCAAGGCCCUGAGUCCCACCGCACCAGGAGGGCGUUCUCCCAGCAGGGUGACUCCACGCGCAAGUACUUUGAUGCGCUGCGGGGCUGAUACAGCCAGACAUGGGCUGGGGGGCAGGUGAGCAAGCUGACCCCCUCCCUGCUUCCACUAAAACCAGAAGCAUCCAGCUCCAGACUUGCAGCACUGACCCGAUGCUCACUGGGACCUCCUACACCCGCCCCUGUCCCCUCCCUGCUGUCGCUUGACUGCACCAGAGGUCAGAGCUGAAUGCGGGGUGGUCCUUGGUGCCCACUGGUUAGUAUCUGCACUGAUCUGGUCAGGAGCCCAGAGACCUUGUGAAAGCAGAUCCUGGCCGAGAGGUCUUGGGUGAGUCAUCACCCUCGCCUGGAAGAGGUCAAGCAGCUACCGUCAGGGCUACCAGAGUCAAAGGAGACUGGGAGGGAGCGGCAGGGCUGUGUAUGCAGUAGGCGCUCAUGGCUUGCUCUCAGCAGGGGAAAUGGGGACACAUUCCUGCCCAGCCAGCCCUGCCCUUGGGCUGCAGGCUCGUUUAGACCAGAGGGACAGGUUGUCAUUGCAAACGGAGGGUCCCAGAGAGCACCACUGUCUACUUCAUCACCUCAGAUGGCCUUCUCAGGGUCAGAUCCUCACCACCAGAUCCCGAGCACAGGGUACGAAGGGACAGGCCCUGGCUCAGGGUGCAGAAACAACCUAGAAAAAGUCCAGCCCUCGGCUCUGCAGAGACACAGACGUGGGGUCAAACACCUGCCCUUUGAUGGGACCAGAGUGGCGAGGGGCAACUAAUGGCACAGCUUGCUGAUGGCACAGAGGAAGAAGCAGUCACAUCAGAGUGGGUCCUGGAGGGGCCUGGGGAGACGGGAGAGCUGGUCGCACCCACAGGUGGAUUGGGCUGGACAGAUAUUUCAGGCAGAAAGAGACAAUGGAGAUGGCCCAGCACAUUCUCUGGAUGGAGCUGAGGUUGCAGGCAGGCUUGGGGUGGAGCAGGGCGUUUAGGGGGGAUGAUGGGAAAGGGAUUGCCUGGUUUGCCUUAGGAGCAAUAGGAUCUGAGUGGGAAAGCUUUAUGGCUCAUCACGGGAGUCUGCAUGGGAAGGAAAGGAGAGCCUGGACAGGCUGGAGCCACCAGCAGACCUGGCACCCAUUUGGAGGCGUGAAGGGCCCAGCAUUGGUGGGAGAUGGGAGAGAGGAACGUUGAACGGGAGCUGGCAGGAUGCGGCGCAGACUGGGUGUUGCAGUCGAGAAACAGGACGGGUUUGGGACAGCGGUGGGCAGUGCGGUCGCUAACCCAGACGUGAGGGCAGGGACCCACAGCUUUGGGGUUCUGGUGGGACUACCAGUGGCCAUUUGGAAAUGUGGGUUCUGAGAGGAAAAGGGAUGUGAGUUGGAGAUAAAGUGUGGUCUCCAAACCAGCAGCAUCAACCUUGCCUACAGACGAGUUCAAAUGCAGAUUCUCAGGCUCUGCCUCAGCCUUACUGAUCUAAAAUCUCUGAGCGUGGGGUCCAGUGACAUGGACAGUAAGGAGCUCUCCAGCCAGUUCCACCAGAUGCUGACAUUUGACAACCACUCAAUUAAGAAACGGAGCUUCAGGAGACCCUGGCAUUUGAGGGGUGGCCUGGGACUGUCAGCCUGCAAAGGAGGUAAGAGAGGUGGUCAGAGGACCCAGGCGGGGACCAGGAAGGACCAUGGCUACCAACACCAAGAGCAAACUCAUCACGGGGAGGAAGCCAUUGCCAAGGGUGAAGGCCAUGUGCUCCAGCCCUCGCUCUCAGCUACGGCAUACACAGAGAUGCACCUGGAACAGAAGCUGGACCCUCCAGCAGAGAUCUCAGCAACGGCAUACACAGAGAUGCACCUGGAACAGAGCUGGACGCUCCAGCAGAGAUCUCAGCACAUCACUCUCAGCUAUGGCAUACACAGAGAUGCACCUGGAAUAGAGCUGGACGCUCCAACAGAGAUCUCAGCACAACCCCUGCCCAGGUACCAUGCAGUUCCCAGUCCCCAUGAGCCCCAGUAACGUAGGCACUGUGCUGAUGCUGAAGGUAACCGUGUCUAACCUUCCUUCGGAGUUGUCCCGGCCAAGCAUGCACCCUGAGUGUCAUGGUUGUUUCUCCAGCUCUUUUCAAGGUUGUCUAAGUAGGAUCCUCUAGUACAUGUUCUGUCUGGCUUAUUUUGCUCAGUGCUACACUCAUGGGAUUCAUUUGUAUUGUUCCAUAGCUUGUUCAUUUUUUACUGUUGUGUAGUAUUCCAUCAGACAAUGAUCCAUAAUUUAUUUAUCUCUUCCACUGGGGUAGAUGUCUCUGUGUUUUCCAUUUGCAGUGAUUAUGUUUGAUGUUACAACAGCCUCAUCCAGGGCCUCCUUGUGCACAGGUGUGUGCAUUUCUGUUGGGUAAAUACCUUCUAGAGGGAAAGUUAAAUUGUAGGAAAAACAGGUAUCUUCAGCCAUAGUGGAAAAUGCCAAACUUCUGUACUACCAAGCUACCGUCCUCAAUAGCACUGGAUAUAGCCCAUCUGCUCUUUCAGUAGGUAUACAGUGGUGUCUCAUUAAGGUUUAGGCUUUUCCUGAUAAUUAAGCAGGCUGUGCACAUUGAAUGUCUCUUGGUCAUUUGGCUAGUCUCCUCUGCACAGCAAGAAGAUAGCUCUCUGCAAGCCAGGGAAAAAAGUUGUGUCAGAAUUUAACCCUACUGGACCUCAACUUGGGAUGUCCCAACUGCCAGUAUUGUGAGAAAGUAAAUUUCUGUUGUUCAGGCCACCCGUCUAUUACAUUUUGUUAUGGAAGCCUGAGCUGAUCAACACAAGUGCGGAGAGGGAAUAUCACAGCAUUAAAUGUUUAUAUGAGAGAAAACCAGAAAGACCUCAGACAGGUGUUCUACGAUUUCACUCUAAGAAAGAAAUAGUUUUUGAAAGAGCAAAGAAAAUGAUAAAUAUUAAAAGAUCAGUAAAAUAGAAAACAAAAUGAUGGGAAAAUCAUUGAAGUCAGAACAUGGUUGUUUGAAAAAAGUAAAAAAAAAAAAAGAGAGAAGACAUAAAGUAUCUAUAUCAAGAUGAAAAAGGAAACACAAUUAAGGACCCUAUAGUCGUUAAUGGAUGAUACGGAUACAAUUAAUGCAUAACUUGAAACAACUCACACUGGAGGAAAAAAGGGAGUAGAAUAGUCUUAUAUCUAUUAAAUUAAUUGGAUUCAUAGUUAAACUUUCCCACAGGAAGGAAACUUUAGGCCCGGAGGUAUUCUUUUGUCAAUUCUACCAAACACCUAAGAAGAAAUCGUACUAGUUAUACGUAUAGUCUUUCAGAAAAUUGAAGAGGAAGCACUGUGUUUGCAAAUAAUUUUGAUGUUAGUAUUACACUGAGAGUAAAACGAGAAAGAUAUUUUUAAAAAAGAAAAACUGCAGAGGAAUAUCCCUCAGUGACAUAGAUGAAAAUAUCUUCACAGAACUUAACAAGGUAUAUCCAACAAUAUGUCAAAGUUAUAACGCACAAUGAUCAGGUGGGGAUUAUCCCAGGCAUACAAGAUUGGUUUAACAAUCAAUG
rnacentral:lncRNA from 1 species